UACGGAGGGUGCAAGCGUUAUCCGGAUUCACUGGGUUUAAAGGGUGCAUAGGCGGAUUGGUAAGUCCGUGGUGAAAUCCCCGAGCUUAACUUGGGAACUGCCGUGGAUACUAUCAGUCUUGAAUAUCGUGGAGGUAAGCGGAAUAUGUCAUGUAGCGGUGAAAUGCUUAGAUAUGACAUAGAACACCAAUUGCGUAGGCAGCUUACUACUCGAUCAUUGACGCUGAGGCACGAAAGCGUGGGGAGCAAACAGG
rnacentral:rRNA from 1 species